rnacentral:lncRNA from 14 species
GUUCCGGCUCCCUGACGUGUUUGCAGAUGGCAGAACCGCUCCAGCUCACCAGUCCUCUCCCCUUGGCACCCAGCCUGGCACCCUAGAGCUGGGGACAGAUGGACAGUGUGCCACAGGAUGAGCCGUGCGCUGAGACUGCUCCUGUUCCUGGCUGGUUGUCCCCUGCUCGGGGGAGCUCUGUUGCCUCCGCGGGAUGUGAGGCUGGAGGCACAGAACUUCCACGUGCGCCUGAGGUGGGAGCUGGACCCCAGGGCUGUGUUCCAGGUCAUGUUCCAGGUGGAGUGGAGGAGGAGAACCUCCCAAUGGACCGAUGCAGGUACCUGCUGGGGGAACAGCACCGGCCCCUCCUGGGUGUGUGAACUGUAUUUUGACAAGAUCCAUGACAUCUACUGGGCACGGGUGAGAGCAGUAGCUGAAGGCGAACAUUCAGAGUGGGCCUACUCCCGUGAGCUGCAGCUCUACAGAGACACCAUUGUGGGACCCCCCAGGUUGUCCUGGCUGCUCCAGGGUGACAUCCUCAGUGUCAAUAUCAUCAUGCCGCUCACUCCCUAUCAAAGGAAAACAGGCUCCCAGAAGCCAGUUGACCGAGUGCUGCUGAAGCUGUGGUAUUGGCUGCACCUGUAUGAAGGGGACAUGCUGGUCCAACAGGUGCCCUGUAGACGGAGCGGGGAGGAAGCUCCAUGCAUCUUCAGAGACCUGAAGCCCAGCACACAGUACUGCAUCCGAACAGUGGCCGUGGACAUGCCCCGGGAGCGGAGCCGUGAGGCUGAGCAGUGCAUGAUGACUGCCACAGGCACUGCAGGCUUUCCCUGGGUCCUUCUUGUUGUCCUGAGUGGCAUCUUCCUGCUGUUGGCUGUGUCCGGCCUCUGCUUCCUCCUGUGGCUUCUCUUCCGCAGCCCCUUGGAGACACACCUCCCGAAAACACUUGGUCUCCUGAAUGGGGAGCUGAGCGUGACCAUUAGGAUGCCCACCCUUGAGCUCCAGCAGGACUCCAUCGCCCUGCUCCUGCUGCCCAUUCCCUGCUCCCAUGGGCCGCCUGCAGCCGAGCAGACACCCGCAGCCCAGCAGCUCCUCACGGAAAGCCUUUCCCAGAACACGAGUGGCUAUUGUGCCAAUGGGUUUGGGCCGGACCGCUGGGAGGGAAGGAACCCAUCCUGUGUCUUGCAUCCUGCGCUGGGACAGGUCUUGGGCUGCCAGGUCUCGCUGCCGCUGGAGGAGGAUGGGGAGACACGUAGUGGUGAUGAUGUGCUGGAACAGCCGGUGCCAGUGGGACUGGCGGGAGACGGCUACACAGGUGACAGGGAAUACCAGACAUCCAAGACAUGGCUCUCCCUGCACCUCCAGCUCUAUUCUAAAUGCCAGUGCCCAGCCCCUGAAGCAGGCAGCUGCCUUCCCCUGCCCACACCAGGCAGGAGCCUCAGCCAGGAGGACGAGUGGGAGAGGCUUGGCCUGGCAGGCCGCUGGGUGCCGCUCAGCUCCGUGAAGCUGCCGGCCAGCGAGGAGGAGGAGGAUGAGGAUGGAGAGCAGUUCGCCUCCACCCGUCAGCCCCUGCGUGUCUGUGGGGCUGCUCCGCAGGCAGGUGACGGCAGCGGGCAGGAGGGUGCCCCGGAGCAGGCAGCGCCGGGUGCGCCCAGCCUCUGCCUGCCGCGAGCCGCUGCCUGCGGCUACGAGCCGCGUCCCCCGGCUGACCGGGAGCCGUAG